rnacentral:rRNA from 1 species
UGGCUCAGAGCGAACGUUUGCGGCGGGCUUAACACAUGCAAGUCGAACGAGAAUCCCUUCGGGGAGGAAAGUGGCGCACGGGUGCGUAACACGUGGAUAACCAACCCAUUGGUUGGGACAACACCGGGAAACUGGUGCUAAUACCAGAUGUGUCGCAGCUGUCUUCAGGCGGUUGCGAGAAAGGCCCGCAAGGGUCGCCAACGGACGGGUCCGCGUCCCAUCAGCUAGUUGGUGAGGUAAUGGCUCACCAAGGCAAAGACGGGUAGCUGGUCUGAGAGGAUGAUCAGCCACACUGGAACUGAGACACGGUCCAGACUCCUACGGGAGGCAGCAGUGGGGAAUAUUGCGCAAUGGGCGAAAGCCUGACGCAGCCACGCCGCGUGAGCGAUGAAGGUCUUCGGAUCGUAAAGCUCUGUGGGGGGAGAAGAAGAAAGCCGGUGAAGAGCCGGCCCUGACGGUAUCCCCUUAGCAAGCACCGGCUAACUCCGUG